rnacentral:lncRNA from 10 species
GAGUUGGGCGCCGGCGCGCUCCCACCGGGGCUCACGGGCGGAGAGGGAGAGGCCCGCGCCUUGCCGCGCAUUAAGACGAUUCCCGGUGACCGCCCGAUCCCUCGCCAGCGUCGUGGGUGGGGCCUGUAGGGGCCUGCCGCCUCGUCCACCGUCCGUCGUGAGGCCGGCAGCGGACACGUGCUCAUCCCACGGGGAGGCCCCGCGCAGCGCGGAGGACGCGCCUGAGAGAGAAAAGGGGUUCGGGAGAAGCCCGAGGACCCGGCCCGUGACUGGGCGCGCCCUAUGCAAAUGAGCGGGCGGGGCCCUCGUGUUGCUGAACGAGGGCGGGUUCGCGAUGUAAAUAAGCCCAGAGGUGGGGUCUUUGGAGAGCACUUAGGGCCCGGGUAGGGGAUGCCAGGUAUAAGUGUUUAACCUAAAUUUUGGUUCCGUCUUCAGUAAAAAUGAUAUCAAUAAUCCAUGUCCCGAAGGGUCUUUGUGAAGUCUAAAAGAAACAUCUGUCACGAUGUCCCUUAAUGGCUGGGAUAUCUUCCCUUCCCCUUUUCUCCACUGUUGCGACGAUUAGGCCCCAACUUGCACAUCUGCCCUACAGGAGGCAGCAAGGCCCUAAACUUACGGCUGCCCAGAACAUAACUGCACCCAGGGAAAACCUUGUUGCGGUUACCCUUAGGAACACCCAAGCCUCUGCUGACAAAAUAUUGAGCCCAACUAAUCACAUCAGGUGUUUACUAUGCACCCACUGUGACACAGGCAGGGAGUACCGUAGAACUAAAGUUGAAAAGAAACUUAGGUUUCACACAGGUGCCAGAGACAAGACUAGAACACAGUUUUUUUUUGGCUGCCUGUCCAGUAAUUCAUUCUCAUGUGUGGCUUAGUUUAUAGAUUUAAUUGGGGACUUCAAAUAAGCGGGAAAGAAGCACUAGCAAUACAAAUCGGUAAUCAGGAAGUACCAAAUGAGCACUCCAAACAGUAAGAGUUUUUGAAGUAUACGCUUUCUUCUGAGAAAUGAACGUGUCCCAGAGGAGGGUGCCUUCAGAUGGACCUUAAGAGAGAUGUGGCCAUCCCCUGAGUCAUACAAGUUUUCCAGAUGUCCUUUCAAAAUCUCUGUCCUUUCCACCGUCUCUGUCCUCACACAUAGAGGAACUUUUCUCACGGGAAGGUUGCGAUGAAGAGCAUAAACCCAGGAGUCAGGCACGUUGUAGCUUUGAGUACGACUCUGUUCCAGAUCUGUAAUCUUUGGCAAAUGGAACUCACCUGCAACGAUACCAUUCAUUUAGUCUUGAGCAGUU